rnacentral:lncRNA from 1 species
GGAGCAUGAGGAGAGGAGUAGCUUAGCUUCAAGGAAAACCUAGGGAUGUGGGUGAUGUCAGAUUUUCACUUAGCAUGGCCGGAACCAGGAUUUUAAAGAUUUGGACCCUUCACUGUUUAAUUCCAGCCUCUCAACUUCACCCAGACACAUGCCUCUAUUCCAGGCUCAGAGCGCGUGCUGCUUGCUGAAAGCAUGGAUACGAGGGCUGUCUGCGGUUCCUACUUUCCCACUUCAGGUCUUCCACCGCUGGUUACCCCGCAUGGUGCCGGCCACUGCCUGUUUCUGUGAGUCUUCGCCAUACCCCCGCAUCAGGGCUGUGUGCUGCCUCCUCCUGAAGCCCUGCUGGAUCUCACAGCCCGCAGAGACCUGAGACCGCCCUGAUUUCACAUGCUUGCCGUUCGCUGCUGCUUUAGCGGAAAGAGCGUUCCAGCAUUCACCCAUCGCUCGCUCGCGUGGGAGAGGAGAGGUGAACGCAGUGUUCCUGACCCCACCUCAUUCUACCGUCUCUUCAGCUGUGAAGUUCCCUUGAGCAGAGCGUCUGACAGCUGGGAGCCUCCGCGGGCAAGGCCAUCCCUCGCCCCACCCCCGGGAGGAAACCGCCGCACCAUCGGAACAGCUGCCGUCCUGCGUUUGUCCAGAGCCCUCGGUGUGCUCCCCAUCCCAGAGCCAUCACGCUCUCCCCCACACACUGGGGAUUAGACUGGACGCGUGUGUAAUUUUACUUUGGUCGCUGGAAAACAUCUGGCAGAUGUUGUAGUCACCAUGAUAAGGACUACACAUUAUGCUGGGAGGAAAAUGAGGAAGAACGCUGGCUUCCAUUUCUACUCCUCUGCGAUACGGGGGUUUGGAUUUUAUGGUGUGACCUCUAUGCUAUCCACAUACAUAAACGUGAUUUUACAGGACACCCAGUUUCUAUCUGAAAUAAACACCUGGUUGAGGCUCUGUACACCCUGCUAGAGUAGGGGGACUCAAUAGUCAGGGGACCGCCAGCCCACUUUCCUGGAAAAAGGGCUCUAGGAGGACACACAGGAAUCUAGCAUGAGGGUCUAGAAAUAAAUCCUUUCUAAAUAGCUAGGCUCCAAAGCUGUCAGUUCAUUAUUAAUGGCUCAUUAUAAUACUCAGUUCAUUAUAAUACUCAGUUUUGUUGCCACUUUGUCAUUUGGUCACUCAGAUCCCCAGUUGCUUGACAUUCAGGUGGCUUCUAAUGUUCCUGUGUUUUAAAUUGUGACAAACACCUCUGCAGCAAAACCGUGAACCUCUCAUCCUCGUCUUCAUGUGUGCUGGUCUCCCG